UACGUAGGGUGCAAGCGUUAAUCGGAAUUACUGGGCGUAAAGCGUGCGCAGGCGGUCUCGCAAGACAGAGGUGAAAUCCCCGGGCUUAACCUGGGAACUGCCUUUGUGACUGCAAGGCUGGAGUGCGGCAGAGGGGGAUGGAAUUCCGCGUGUAGCAGUGAAAUGCGUAGAUAUGCGGAGGAACACCGAUGGCGAAGGCAAUCCCCUGGGCCUGCACUGACGCUCAUGCACGAAAGCGUGGGGAGCAAACAGGAUUAGAUACCCUGGUAGUCCACGCCCUAAACGAUGUCAACUGGUUGUUGAGAGGGUUCCUUCUCAGUAUCGUAGCUAACGCGUGAAGUUGACCGCCUGGGGAGUACGGCCGCAAGGUUG
rnacentral:rRNA from 1 species